rnacentral:rRNA from 1 species
AGCGAACGCUGGCGGCAAGCUUAACACAUGCAAGUCGAACGAUGUAGCAAUACAUAGUGGCGGACGGGUGCAUAACACGUGGGUAUCUGCCUUUAGGUACGGAAUAACUCAGGGAAACUUGAGCUAAUACCGUAUAAUAUCUCUGGAUCAAAGAUUUAUCGCCUAAAGAUGAGCCCGCGGCAGAUUAGCUAGUUGGUGGGGUAAUGGCCUACCAAGGCGACGAUCUGUAGCUGGUCUUAGAGGAUGAUCAGCCACACUGGGACUGAGACACGGCCCAGACUCCUACGGGAGGCAGCAGUGGGGAAUAUUGGACAAUGGGGGCAAUCCUGAUCCAGCUAUGCCGCGUGAGUGAUGAAGGCCUUAGGGUUGUAAAGCUCUUUUAGAUGGGAAGAUAAUGACGGUACCAUCAGAAAAAGCCCCGGCUAACUUCGUGCCAGCAGCCGCGGUAA